rnacentral:ncRNA from 2 species
ACAUAUGGUAGUGGAAUGGGUGUAUUUGUUUCAUAACGGAUACUUAAAAGGGAAGUCGGUGUAAAUCCGGCACGGUCCCGCCGCUGUAAGGGGGAGUCUUAUGCAAAUAUGUCACUGGAUCAUAUCUGGGAAGACGCAUGGAGAUGAUGAACCCAAGUCAGAAGACCUGCCUAUUCUAGAAAUGCUGU